rnacentral:lncRNA from 1 species
CUUCACUUCAGCUUAACUAAAUACCAUAUCUCCUUCAGCAGCUUGAGUUUCUGGAAAGGCCCAGACUGUCCACGCUCCUCAGUAGGGUUUGUUUGCAAAGUCCUAGGUUAGCUGGAGCAAGAGGGAGGUAGGAGGACCUCGGAACACACAUCGAAGUCUGCACUCCAAAAGCUGCCAGAGUGUCUGAGAGUUGUUAUCCCGGUCGGAGGAGGCGAGGCCUGGGACUCGAGUGGAGAUUUAUCUUCCCUGGCACAUUGCCCCACUUCCGGAACUACAGGGAGAAGGUGCUUUGAUAGUUGGUGAGGACCUGAAACUACAGACUGUAGACCAAACAGAAGGGAGAAAAGACAUUCAAGAGAGAAGCAUGAAGUUGGUUACAAGGCGUUUGAAAAGUCUUUCCCCGCUGCCACCAAGAAUACGGAGGUAUCGGAAAAUACAGAACCGUCUGGGUCUUUGGGCCUUUUUCAGAUUCUUCUCCAUGGCUUGAAGUUAUUGUGAACUGAGACGAAGCAGUAUUACCUGGGGAAUUAACAUAAAGUUACUGUGUGGGGUGCCUGGGUGGCUCAGUCAGUUAAGU